rnacentral:rRNA from 1 species
GACGGAGGGUGCAAGCGUUGCUCGGAAUCACUGGGCGUAAAGGGUGCGUAGGCGGUCUCGCAAGUCUGGCGUGAAAGCCCAAGGCUCAGCCUUGGAAGUGCGCUCGAAACGGCGAGGCUGGAGUGCUGGAGGGGAGAGUGGAAUUCCCGGUGUAGCGGUGAAAUGCGUAGAGAUCGGGAGGAAUACCGGUGGCGAAAGCGACUCUCUGGACGGCAACUGACGCUGAGGCACGAAAGCGUGGGGAGCAAACAGG